rnacentral:rRNA from 1 species
GAUGAACGCUGGCGGCGUGCUUAACACAUGCAAGUCGAACGGAAAGGCCCAAGCUUGCUUGGGUACUCGAGUGGCGAACGGGUGAGUAACACGUGGGUGAUCUGCCCUGCACUUCGGGAUAAGCCUUGGAAACUGGGUCUAAUACCGGCUAGGACCACUUCUUGGAUGUUGUGGUGGAAAGUUUUUUCGGUGUGGGAUGAGCUCGCGGCCUAUCAGCUUGGUGGGGGGGUAAUGGCCUACCAAGGCGUCGACGGGUAGCCGGCCUGAGAGGGUGUACGGCGACAUUGGGACUGAGAUAAGGCACAGACUCCGACGGGAGGCAGCAGGGGGGAAUAUUGCACAAUGGGUGCAAGCCGGAUGCAGCGACGCCGCGGGGGGGAUGACGGUCUUCGGGUUGUGAACUCCUUUCGCUAGGGAAGAAUCGUUUUGUGACGGUACCUGGAGAAGAAGCACCGGCUAACUACGUG